CGCACCAACUGUUGCUAUUUUUAGAGCGUGAGAUCCCGCGGCUCCUCAGCGCCAGCUCUGCCAGCCACGCCGGCUGUUGCUAUAUUUAGAACGGGAGCGCCUGCGGCUCCAUAGCGUUGAGCUCUGCCGGCCGCGCCGGCCGUUGCUAUUUUUAUCCCGCCUCCACGACGGCAGCUGCACAAGAUGUGCCAGCUUCUCCGGACCCGCUGCCCCUCAGACACAAAGU